UCCCCAACAAAACCAAAUCCAGAUCACCAAAAAAUGACCAAAACAUAAGCUCAAUAACCACGGACGUAACAAACAGAUUGACUAAACUUUUACCACCAUUACAAUACUCCUUCGUCUUGUAAUUUUCACACUCAACUCUCACCAAAUCUCACUUACACAAACACAAUACAAACACAACCAUUUUUAUAUUAGUACCAAUUUUCACACACACACACACACUAGCAUCAAUCUCACUUCCUUAUCAUACCCUUGUCUUGUUGAAAACCCAGAUCUUAGAUCCCUCAAUUAUGUUGUCAUAAACUCUUAUGUUGUCAAAAAAUCCUAUGUUGUCAUAAAAAACAUUCACAAUGUUUUCAACUUCAACUCCAUUAAUCCCAACUAUAGCCCUUUUAAUCUCCUUGAUAAUCAUUCUCCUUUUUGCCCCUUCUUUCCUCCCAAUCACCCACCGCAAAUCCCCACCAAUCCCACUCGCCGAUGAACUCGAUGACCUGUCUCUGUUCACACGCGCCACCCGACGCGCCGCCGCGAAGUCCCGCCUCGGCACCACCAAUCAGAACCCCAAGAUUGCUUUUUUAUUCUUGACAAACACUGACCUCUAUUUCUCACCCUUGUGGCAACUCUUCUUCAACAACCACUCUGAUUUGUAUAAUAUAUACAUUCACGCUGACCCAACUGUGCAAAUUGCGCCGCCGAGUGGUGUUUUUGAGGGCCGUGUUAUUGGGAAUUUGCAUAGGACUUAUCGGGGAACUGCCACCCUUAUUUCGGCUGCUCGUCGACUGCUUGCCACUGCGAUUCUUGAUGAUUCCAGUAACUUUUACUUUGCUCUCAUUUCGCAACAAUGCAUACCUUUACAUUCUUUUAAGUAUGUGUAUAAUGCGUUGUUUGGUACUGAUUCGGGAUCCAUUGUUUUAGAUAAGAUUAGUUUUAUUGAAAUUAAGUCGAAUGAGUCCAUAUUAUGGGAUAGGUAUAACGCUAGAGGUAAACGUGUGAUGGUUCCGGAAGUACCCUUUGAAAAGUUUCGAGUGGGGUCUCAAUUUUUUAUACUGACUAGGAGGCACUCGUUGAUGGUGCUUAGGGAUCAGAGGUUGUGGAAGAAAUUUAAGAUUCCGUGUAUAAAUGUACAUUCUUGUUAUCCUGAAGAGCAUUAUUUUCCUACACUGCUGUCGAUGUUGGAUCCCAAGGGCUGUUCGUCUUAUACAUUGACGAGGGUCAACUGGACGGGUAGUGUUAAUGGUCACCCGCAUACUUAUUACCCGAGUGAAGUGUCGGCACAACUGAUCUAUACUUUGAGGGAGUCAAAUUCUUCUCAUUCGUAUCUGUUUGCCCGCAAAUUCUCACCAGAUUGUUUGAAGCCAUUGUUGGAUUUAUCGGAGGAAGUCAUAUUCAAAGAUUGAAUUUUAAUGUUGGUAAGUGCGUUUUGAUAUUAUUCCUUCACUGCUUUGUAAGUGAGAUUUGAUCUGAUAUAAUUUUUUCACGAGUUAAAUUGGAUUGAUGGUAAUUUUGGUGGUGUAAACUGCACAGUAAAGUUAUGAAUUUCACAUUGGGAAUUUUAUUCGUUUUAAAAUACCUAUUUAUAUUUGAUUUAGAAUAUUUAAGUCAUUUUAUAAGUUCUAAUAAAGUUAAUAACAAAUGUAGUUUGUAGGAAAGUAUUUCUUGUACUUUUUAGAAGUUAAAAUAAAGUUAAUAACAGAAGUACUUUGUAAGGAUUGGUCUUGAGACUUUUGGUAACUUAGAUAUAAUAUGGGAAUAAGGAGACAUGAUACUUUUUGUAGUUAAAAUGUGUAAAUAAUGCAAGAUCAAGAUCAGGAUAAAAUAUAAAGGUCUUCUAUUGCCUAUAUUUUACCAUGUUGAUCCAUCCGAUGUUCGCGAAAAAUCUGGUUGUAUAUCUGAAGCAAUAGAUCACCAUGAUGAGAAAUUCAAGAGUGAGGUGGAUGAGACAAAAAAGAAGACUUUGAUGGACAAAAUAAAGUGAUGGAGGACUGCUCUUGCUCAGCUUUCGAAUCUGGGAGGCAUGCUUUUGCAAAACGUGGCCAAUGGGUCACUUGAUAAUGCUUCUCUGCGUGGAGGAGUGCAUUAGAAAAAUUGGAAAUCAUUCCUCACUGUGAAUCCAGAAGAUUUUGCGAAUAAGUUACGAACAACUCUUUGCAAGAUGACCAUGAUAGAGAUCUAUUUCUGUAAAUUGCGUGUUUCUUUAGUGGAGAGGCCGAGUAUUUUGUGGUCGGGAAUCGGGAUACUAGAUGAAUGUGAUGAUAGAGAUCUAUUUCUGGAGAUUGCGUGUUUCUUUGGUGGAGAGGCCAAGUAUUUUGUGGUUGGGAUACUAGAUGAAUGUGAUUAUUACACAUCAAUUGGAAUUGAAAAUCUUAUAGAUAGAUUUUUGUUGAUGACUAUUAAAUUUGAGAAUCUUAAAAUGCAUCAGACCAUUCAGGGCAUGGGUAGAGAAAUUAUACGUCGGCAAUCACCUAAAGAUCCAGGGAAAAGGAGUAAAACUUUGGCAUUGUAAACACUCCCUUAAAGUAUUAAAAGACGAAACAGUAAGAAAAACACCAAGGCACUGGAGCAAUUGUAACAAUAACAUUUCUAUUCUGUCAAUUCUAUUUUCUUCUUAUUGUAACAAUUACAUUUUUUGUCAGUUUUUUCUGUCAGUUUAAUUACAGUGGUUUCUGCUUA